rnacentral:rRNA from 1 species
GACAGAGGGUGCAAACGUUGUUCGGAAUUACUGGGCGUAAAGCGUGCGCAGGCGGUUUGUUAAGACAGAUGUGAAAUCCCCGGGCUUAACCUGGGAACUGCGUUUGUAACUGGCAAGCUAGAGUGUGGCAGAGGGGGGUGGAAUUCCACGUGUAGCAGUGAAAUGCGUAGAGAUGUGGAGGAACACCGAUGGCGAAGGCAGCCCCCUGGGCUAACACUGACGCUCAUGCACGAAAGCGUGGGGAGCAAACAGG